UCUUCCUUCUAGGCCUGGUGGAGUUUCUCGGCACCAAACCCAGACGCUGAUUCCUGACGCAGUUCAAAAUCAUUGGGGAGAGCAGAGAAAUACAUCAAUUCCAAUAACCCUUCAUUCAGAAGAAGAGUUAUUUCAAGGGUUGGAUUGUACUACAGAUUUAGAUGCACCUGUUGGUACAACUACAAGAGGAAUGAAAAAUCUCGAGACAGACAGUAUGAACAUACAGUUUCACAUGAUGCUGGUUCAGCUCAAUGGAUUUUUAGAACAAGAUCCUGUUUUCUGUAUGUAGACAGAGCUUCCUGCUGUGUGCUGUCGAAAGAAUGAGAAGACAAGAUGGAGAAUCAAUUUAAGAAAAAAGCUUUAGUUGACAAAGCUUUGCUGUAGAUCAAUGGAAUCUAGCUAGUUAAAAUAUCUUUGGUAGCAGAGAUUUUACAAUCACAAGUUGGACAUAAUCAGUUUGGGUUUCCCUGUUCCAUUCAUACAGUAUUUUGCCAGAUGAAAAAAAUUUUCUUAGUAUGCAAAUACCAUUAUUGUUAUGACAACUGAAUGUCUUUUGGCUUCGUAGUGAAACAGUAACAGCAGUUUUAAAAUAUAUUUCUUUGAUGUACAGAAAAUCUAGGCCUUUAUUAGGUCUAUUCUUUUAAAAGAAACAGUAUUUACUUAAGUAGGAGUUUGUUACAGCAGAGCAGGCAAGCUCAUUUACCCAUGGAGAGAUAUAAUAAUGUACAAUUCAGCACUUGGUACUUAGGGGAUUUUUUUCAUUGACUCAUUUAGUCUUUUAUCACUUAUUUGUUUAAACAGGUUUCAUGACAAACACAGGAUGUGUACAAACUGAUAUAAAGCACAUGUCUUUGCCAGCAGAUUUAUCCAUAUAUCUGAUAUUUGUUUAACUGAGUUUCACUGAAUUUGCAUACCAGCAGUAAUUAGUUGUUUCAAAAUUCCUAAUAGCA
rnacentral:lncRNA from 1 species